rnacentral:rRNA from 1 species
UACGGAGGAUGCAAGCGUUAUCCGGAUUCAUUGGGUUUAAAGGGUGCGUAGGCGGGCUAUUAAGUCAGUGGUGAAAUCCUGCAGCUUAACUGCAGAACUGCCGUUGAUACUGAUAGUCUUGAGUUUGGUUAAGGUAGGCGGAAUGUGUAAUGUAGCGGUGAAAUGCUUAGAUAUUACACAGAACACCAAUGGCGUAGGCAGCUUACUGAGCCGACACUGACGCUGAGGCACGAAAGCGUGGGGAUCAAACAGGA